rnacentral:tRNA from 1 species
GGCUGAGUGGUUAAAAGCAUCCUCCUGCUAAGAGGAAGCGGGUAGUUAAUGCCCGUCGAGGGUUCAAAUCCCUCCUUAGAAC